AACGUAGGACGCAAGCGUUAUCCGGAAUUACUGGGCGUAAAGCGCGUGUAGGUGGUUUUAUAAGUCACUGUUGAAAGCUCCCGGCUAAACUGGGAGAGGUGCGGUGAGACUGUAGAGCUAGAGUUUGGGAGAGGGGUGCGGAAUUCCGGGUGUAGUGGUGAAAUGCGUAGAGAUCCGGAGGAACACCAGAGGCGAAGGCGGCACCCUGGCCUAAUACUGACACUGAGACGCGAAAGCAUGGGGAGCGAACCGG
rnacentral:rRNA from 1 species